UGCCUUAAAAAUGAAGAAAAUCUUGCAUCGAAUCCUCUUCAUAGAUUUCUCUUUUCAGAUUUGUAUUUCUUUGAAUAACAGGAGAUUUGAUUUGGUUUUUAUAAAGUACUAAUUGAAUAACAGCAGAUUGCAAGUCAUUUCUAAUGACUUUACUUAAGUGUCAUAUUCAAUAAUACAUGAUUUGAGAUUUUUUUUUUAAAUCAUUAGUUGAAUAACAUGAGAUUUUGAAAUAAAACUAAAACACUUUAAAAUUCAUAAUUCAAUACACCCCCUAAAUGUUUUUUAUUUUUAUUUUUUACGUCGAAAUGUCAUUCUAUUACUCAAACUUGAGGUGGUCUGCGUAAUCAAACCGAAAUAGAGCAACCAAUAAAAUGUAACUCUCUAUGGAAGGAUCUAGCAGUCUUAGCUAAAAAAAUCUGAAAUCUGAUUGCGCACUCGUGGAACAUGAAUGAUGUUGAAAUUCGGGAAGCAUAUCUAUAACGUCUCUAUCCUCUCCAAUUCUGUUGCAAAGCUUGACCAAACCUGAGGUUUCUUUAUUAUUGCGAUCAGCUCAUUACAGUCUGUCCUGAAGCUCUGGCAUGUUGAAUGUUGAAGCAUAUUCUCCAUCGUCCAUCGCAGUGCUUCUACUUUUGAAUGCAAUGCUGAUUCACGUCGAGCGAAAUUUCUUGUCCCUAUAAGUUGAAUGUUCUCAC
rnacentral:lncRNA from 1 species